UGGGGAAUAUUGCACAAUGGGCGAAAGCCUGAUGCAGCAACGCCGCGUGAGUGAUGAAGGCCUUCGGGUUGUAAAGCUCUGUCUUCUGGGACGAUAAUGACGGUACCAGAGGAGGAAGCCACGGCUAACUACGUGCCAGCAGCCGCGGUAAUACGUAGGUGGCAAGCGUUGUCCGGAUUUACUGGGCGUAAAGGAUGCGUAGGCGGAUACUUAAGUCAGAUGUGAAAAUCCCGGGCUUAACUUGGGAACUGCAUUUGAAACUGGGUAUUUAGAGUGCGGGAGAGGAAAGUGGAAUUCCUAGUGUAGCGGUGAAAUGCGUAGAGAUUAGGAAGAACACCAGUGGCGAAGGCGACUUUCUGGACCGUAACUGACGCUGAGGCAU
rnacentral:rRNA from 1 species